rnacentral:rRNA from 1 species
UACAGAGGGUGCAAGCGUUAUUCGGAAUUACUGGGCGUAAAGAGCGCGUAGGCGGCUCGAUAAGUCUGAUGUGAAAUCCCUGGACUCAAUUCAGGAAGUGCAUUGGAUACUGUCGAGCUCGAGUGAAGGAGAGGAAAGCGGAAUUCCCGGUGUAGAGGUGAAAUUCGUAGAUAUCGGGAGGAACAACAGAGGCGAAGGCGGCUUUCUGGACUUCAACUGACGCUGAGGCGCGAAAGCGUGGGGAGCAAACAGG